UUUCGGCAGUUUCCAUCAAAACAUCAACCGCGGACGGAUUAUUUGCGACAAAAAUGCUUCCUCUCGGGUGGCCAAGGAAUAAUCGUCGUGAUGCUGCGUGUCACCCAUCCGGUUGAAAGUGUGGUUCCCGUUGGAAAUGUUGUGGUGCGAAUCUGGGACUGUUUGCAGCGCAGCAAAUAGGACACGGAACAUUUUUGCCUGAUGAUCUGCAGCUGGCAGAUUCUGGGACUCAUCAGGAUGAGGAGGAAGAACGAAGUGGACAGCGGAGGAGUAGUUUAUUUGUGCAUAAGAGGAAGAACUACUUAAAGGAAAAGAAAUGCACGUACCAGCUUGUCGUGUCGUGAGAUCGACGGAUUUCCGAGGAUCUUCGUGCGACGGACGGAGGGUUCAGAACUGACCGAGCGAGAUGCGAUAUUUCGAGGUGUGCGAUCAAGCGGUCGGGGUUGCGAGACAUUCAGAGACGACUGGAAGAGGAAGUGUACGUGGUUCGAUGAAAAGUGGUUCCCAUACGCCGAGAUCACGAGGCAAUAGUAAUUGUCGAGGCGGAUUUGUAUUUGUGCUGGUAAGGCUUCCGGGAAAAGGCAGGAAGAGGAGGAGAGGAGAGGAGGGGAGCAAAAUAAAUCUAGAAAUAAGUCACGGUCUGCAUUAUUCAAACUCCGUUGUUUAGCAGCACCGGCGGGCCAUCCCGAUCUGGCCAUUGGCAACGGGGGAACAUCCGCUGUCAAUUCGACAAUCUUCUCGGUCUCGGUAGAACAUUCCCGGAAGAACAACUUGGCCAUCGGCGCAACGAGCACAAAAGCACCAUCAGCCCACCAGCAACCGCAUCCACGAGUUUACCAAAACUUGAACGUUGGCAGAGCGGGUACUGCCACGAUCGACUUAUUCAACCAGCUUGCCCUGACCGAAUCAACGGCGAUUAACUAGCGGAAGUCAGGACUUCAUUAACCCGCAGAACCCCCCUCCCGAUAAGUUCUCUCUUCAGUGAAGGUCUGCACGAUCGACUCUGAAGGUCCUAGACCCUGGACCCGGGAAGAUGCGCUGGCUUGCUGAAUAAUGCCUUGUACGACAAGGUCACAAUCUACAAAAUCGACGUUACAAUGUUCCUCCAGCAGCAGCAGCAGCAGCAAACGUCGCCUGUUUCCACUGGUGUUCCCGUGCUGGUGCGAGAGCCGAACAUUCGAUAGAUGUUCUGAGAAUGUAAGUUUGACGCAUCAGAUACAAACCGUAUCCACUUCAUUCACGGUAAUGACGGUAUCACCACUUCACCGCAUUGGCCGCUGCUGGAAACCAGCUGUUCAUCUAUGUACCCCAGUACCGUAAGUGUUUUUCGUUGUGAUUCAUUGUUUUGGUAGAAGCUGGAAUUUUAUUUUUUAUGUUUGUGAUAACAAAAUAAAUUAAAAAAUAAAAUAAAAAUGUUCGAUAAAAAUUAGUUGUUUACAUUCCUUGUUAUUGAUGACAAUUCGAUAUCUAUCCCAUCAUCCACAUCAACUCAUCCGCAAAACACAACUUUUGAGAUACAAUAUUCCACUGUAAUAGGUAAAUUUGAUCAUUUUCUGUGGAAAAUUUACCUCAUAUAUGAGGUAAAUUUUCAUCAUAUAUGAGGUAAUUUUACACAUUUUUAGAGGUAAAAUUAA